UAAAGGCUCACUCUGGUUGCUAAGUUACAAA
rnacentral:piRNA from 1 species